rnacentral:tRNA from 1 species
CAAAAUGUAACUUAAUUUAAAGUCCCCCGCUUACACCGGGGAAAUAUCUGCUUGACCCAGAUCAUUUUGA